AUUGAAUUUGCAAAGAUCCAUGGAGAAAUAAAUAGAGAGUGUUUCUUAAUGGCUAGAUCGAAGCCGACUGUGGAUGAUUCUUGUGAGGAAGGGUUUUUCUGUGUGAAUCAAUUUUUGAUGAUUGGUUAUCGUUCCAUUCUUUAAAAUGGUUUUUCCGGUUCGGCAAAUCGAAUUGGGUUUCCGACCAUAAGGGAGAUCUGCGUCAGGUACAGUGAUUUCUGUGAUGAUCUUUGCGUGCAAAUCGGGGGCACGAAGAUCAUUCAAAAAUUAUUUGUAGAGGAGAAGGAUGAGGCACUCGACCUGUCCCAAGGAGAGAGAGCCCCUGGGGCUUCCUUGAAGGUGAUACACGACAUUCUCAGGCACACAGAUGCAACGUCCGUGCUGAAGACAGACAGACGUAUGUUAUCCAGGUUCUCCUUGGUUUCAAAUCUUCGAAACUGUAUUUUCAUUUGAUCCAUGGUUGAAUUCUGAAGUCCUUCUGGUAUCUUAUCAUUUCUGUUUGGUUGUGCAUAUUUAGGAAUGCGCUCAGGUUGUUGACUCUUUUUAACUUUUUCAAAAUUCUAGUGUGCUAAGGUUGAGUAAAUUUUCUCACUCCUUGCCAACUUUAUAUUUGAAAGGUGAAUGGAAUUAAAAAAAAAAGAAUUAAAAUGUUUA